CAGCUGUUGGGGAGGAAGAGAGACAGAGGGUGACGCUCCCUCAGUUUUCGUCUUUUUCUGAGCCGUCUGGGGCGUUUAAUGAGGCAGCUAUGGGGGCUAUAACCAGUAGACAGAACGCUGGCGUGGAGGAGGUGGAUAUUGGGGUCAACCACGCCUACAGAUACCCUCCAAAAUCAGGAAACUACUUCAGCAGUUAUUUCAUUAUGGGAGGGGAACGGUUCGACACAGCAGUGCCAGAGAUGUAUCUCUUUGGUGAGAACAUGGAUGUCAACUUCUUAGGUUCUCGUCCAGCUCCAUUUCCCUAUCCUGCUCCAACAGCAAAUGAACCAAGUAAAACACUAAAGGCACUCCUCAAUAUAAGGAAAGAGAGCUUGCGCUUUGUGCGUGCACCAGACGACUCUGCCAUGUUAAAAGAGGCAGAGGAUAGAACAGCCACUACUAGAUUUAACAUUGAGUUCACUUUUGACUGUGAUGUGCGAUGUGCUAUAACCAUCAUGUAUUUCUGUACAGAAGAGGUGACAAGCAAUGGAAUAAUCUACACUCCACGUGAUCCAAACAUGAAUUCGGAGACCUACCACUACAAGCGAGGAGCAAAUCAACAGUUUUCACAAGUAUGCCAUGUGUUUGACCCAUCACUAUACCCUGAGGAAGAUCUGAUGUACAGCUUUGACCGUGAAGUUAUGCCCAUUGUCAUUUACUGUCUGGCAGAAGAAGGGGAAGAUGAAUUUUCCACAGAGCCUCGCCAGUCCCAUGUGACAUUCGCUGUGGUGGAGAAGCACAGCGAGGGAUAUGUCUUGAAGCCUCUCAAGCAAAAGCUGUUCGUGGAUGGGCUGUCAUACCUCCUGCAGGAAAUCUAUGGCAUCGAGAACAAAAAAGCAGACAAUGCCAAAGUGGCAACAGAGGAGGACACAGAGGAUAAUGGAGCAGAGUGUGUCAUCUGCAUGUGUGACCUGCGAGACACUCUCAUUCUACCCUGCCGCCAUCUGUGUCUGUGUAAUUGCUGUGCAGAUUCCCUCAGAUACCAAGCCAACAACUGCCCCAUUUGUCGUGCUCCAUUCAGAGCUUUGCUACAGAUAAAAGCCCUUCAGAAGAGUACUGGACAGGUGACCAAUCCACAGCCAAACACUGAGGUAAACAAGGCCGCGCAUGUGGUAGUUUCGUUCUUGCCAGACAAGCAAGGAGACUGCGAGGAGGAUCAUGAGGGUUGGCUUGCAUGCACUGCUUUGAUUGGAAACCUGGAUGCCCCUGACAUUGCUAAAUACCAACAUGACACUUAUGCUAAAUUAUUUGGCUGUGAUAAUGUCCCUCCAGGCUACGAGGCAGUACCCUUGAUCGAGGCGCUGAAUGGCCCCUCGGUGGCUCCCCUGCAGCCCACUGCCCCACCUGCCCAUGAUCGGUACGUCCAGUUGCCUCAGAGUCCAGCAGAUGUCCCAGCAGAUGCCAUUGUCCGCAAUGAAGCCUCGAGAUGCUUUAUUGAGAGCAUCACAAUCAGAUCUGGCACAGGGACCCUGGAGGACUCUACCACACAGACCGAACAGCCGCCCAAUUCUUGUGAGAUGAAUAACAGCUCAUCUGUAGUUCCUGAGAUGCGUAUGUCAGUUCUGCUUGCUCAGGAGUCAGAUGAUGUCACAAGUACAAAACUGGAGAACAUUGCAAGCACCCCUGUUUCUUCAGCAAAGAAGAAGGCAGGCCGCAAACAUUCCCGGGAGAAGCAGCAGUUUGGUUCUAAGGACAGCGUAAAAAUUGUGAAUGAAAUUGGGGGACAGCGUAACAAGGAACCUGUGGACCCAGCAGAAACACGAAGCUUAUUGGAUGAAGACAAAUCAGAGAUCGACGCUGGUGUUAAUAGCAGCCAGGACCCAGCCCAACAGCAGGCGGUGCUGAAUCCUGAGGAACAGUCUCAGAAGGAGCUGCGAGCCCCCCAGGCAGAGGCAGAAGUGGAUGAGGAGGAAACUGGAGAAGAGGAGCCAGAAUUGGAAGAGGAAAACAUGGAAGAAAUGGAAGGAGAAGAAAAUGACACCGAGAAUUCGCUCAGCUCCCUCCCUACUUUAGCCAUGAGGUGUGCUCCCAACUCAGAGGUCGACGUGGAGGACAGCAUAUCGCAGGCUCCGACAGAAUCACCCGUUUGGACCCCCAGAAAGGAGGAAGUGGAAGGAGGGAAAAAUCUAGAGAAAGAGGAGGUGAUCACCAACGCUGAUUCUGAACCCAUAGAUAGUGUGUGAUUCACGCUAACCUCUUCUCUUCGUUAGUCGAUGCAAUGAGCCCAGUGAUGUGCAGUAAACCUGCGCAGGGAAAGAGCUAGCGCUUCCUCCGAGAGUGGAGUGCCAGCAUCGCCUAACGGUGGGUUCUCCUCACUCACCCACCAAAGCGAUUCACUGUCUCUGCCAGGCACACCUCUCAGUAAUGCCUCGGUGAU
rnacentral:misc_RNA from 1 species